GAAAACACCUGGAGCUCACACCUGUGGCCCACCAGGGCUGGGACGUGGCAUUUCCCAGCAGGAGGGACUGAUGGAGACUGAGUGAGCUGAGCUACAGCUCACGACAAGGACUUUCUGAAUUUGCCAUCUCUUCAGAAGAGCAAGAGAAAUCUUUUCCUGAACCAGUUGAGAGGGGCCACUUAAAUCUACUUUCUAGAGAGACCCCUUUGGAAGUUUCCUCCCAAAGUUGCCCCAAACCAGGAUACCACCAGACCACCAGAAAUGAGAAGAAACAUGGAGUGUUGACCUCAGUGUCUUUAGUGGGCAAAAUGGUGAAAAAACAAAAUACAGAUCUGGAGUUUAUUGCGAAGCAUGCAUGAAUUGCUUAACUGGAAUAGUAAUUAAUAUAAUUUUUAAAUGAGGUAAGGAUCUAUUGAGCUGGAAGAGAAUUCUGGAGUCACUUCUGCUGCAUAAGAACCUUUGCAGUCAAACCACAGUAUCUUUAAGCAGUUCUGAUGUGCAUGUUUUAGGUUAUUGUUUUUGUGGAACCUUGUGGUUAUUUUAAACUCUGUAACGUCACAUCUUAAGGUUAAAGUUUCUACAACUUAACUUUUAUGUUUUAUGUUUUUUAAAUUUAAACCCAUAUUUGCUAUGCUGUUAGCACUUUAGGGAGUAAACCCCACUGAAGUUAGUAGGAAGUCACUAGGAAGCUGUCCCUAUAAAUAGGCUCUGGAGUAGGACACGAUUGUGUAGUGGCUGCAGGAGCACGGAGGUGUUUGCAACAAAUUCUAAAGAAAGUUCGACUGGUAAAUUUUACACUUUUUAAACACUCCUUAGCUUGUCUUUUAGAUUCUGGAGAGGCUGGUUAAUUUAAUUAGACUUGUCUAAUGCAUCUAAACAUGCUCAGUGGGGAAUCUGCUGCCUGGAGGACUUGGUUACAGAAGUCCGCUUAUUGUGAGACUGAAAGGACUGCAGAGAUCCAACGGGAGAACUGCUUCCCGAGGUCUGCUUGCAUUGUUUCAAACAGCUGAUGAAAGAAGUGCUGCUGCUUUGGGAGUCUGCCAUGCAGACAGAACACUAUAUAUGGCAAAAGAAUUAUUUUUGUUUGAUAAAAGGAUGGAGACUGUGUGAGGCUGGUGCAGUCUCACUGGGCAGAAGUACAGUGGGUUUUGUUUAUUUAAUUAAAAACGGAAUCUCAUUGACGCUAUCAGUGGCUCAGCUUCCAUGUAUUUUCUCUGUGCUUGGCCUGAAAAGCAGUCCUCUGAAAACAAAGGAGCUGAGGCAUGCGGCUCAGGGUAAGGCAGGGAAGGAGAAUUGGCUCUCAGGGGUGGUAGGAUCUGGUGAACUUGUGACUGCUGUGCCAGUACAGAAAUAGCAGACUUGUGGUUGAAUCCUCUAAGGUCUGCGAGGCAAUGGAUUUCUAGCAUAAGGCCAAAUAACUUCAUUUGCCAUGCUGGGAUUAUCAAGCUGUGAGCCAUGUCUUGUUGGUGACUUUUUUUCUUUAUUUAUUUUGGUUGUUUUUUGAGUGUUUUUGUCAUGAAAACUAGAGGGCACUCAAAACUAAAUUCCUGUCUCUAAUUUACCAUUCUAGGAAAAUUCCAUUUCCUAGAACUGCUAAACUGCAAGAGGAGAAUGGGGAACUGACAGAAUGGCCACAGUAAACAACUGGGCACCCUUGGACCUCCUUUCCCUUUCUCUUCAGACUUUUUUUUUUU